GGGGAUUUAGCUCAGUGAUAGAGCACUUGCCUAGCAAGCGCAAGGCCCUGGGUUCGGUUCCCAGCUCCG
rnacentral:tRNA from 1 species